rnacentral:rRNA from 1 species
GACAGAGGGUGCAAACGUUGUUCGGAAUUACUGGGCGUAAAGAGCGCGCAGGCGGUCGUUCAAGUCGAGUGUGAAAGCCCCCCGGCUCAACUGGGGAGGGUCAUUCGAUACUGAUCGACUCGAAGGCAGGAGAGGGAAGUGGAAUUCCCGGUGUAGUGGUGAAAUGCGUAGAUAUCGGGAGGAACACCAGUGGCGAAGGCGACUUCCUGGCCUGUUCUUGACGCUGAGGCGCGAAAAGCUAGGGGAGCAAACGGGG